rnacentral:rRNA from 1 species
UAACCGGAUUAGAUACCCUGGUAGUCCACGCUGUAAACGAUGUGCGCUGGAUGUUGGGUGGCCUAGCCACUCAGUGUCGUAGCUAACGCGAUAAGCGCACCGCCUGGGGAGUACGGCCGCAAGGUUGGAACUCAAAGGAAUUGACGGGGGCCCGCACAAGCGGUGGAGCAUGUGGUUUAAUUCGGAGCAACGCGCAGAACCUUACCAGGACUUGACAUGGGAGGGCCGCGUCCAGAGAUGGGCGUUUCCGCAAGGACCCUCUGCACAGGUGCUGCAUGGCUGUCGUCAGCUCGUGUCGUGAGAUGUUGGGUUAAGUCCCGCAACGAGCGCAACCCUCGCCUUCAGUUGCCAGCACGUUUGGGUGGGCACUCUGAAGGAACUGCCGGUGACAAGCCGGAGGAAGGUGGGGAUGACGUCAAGUCCUCAUGGCCCUUAUGUCCAGGGCUACACACGUGCUACAAUGGCCGGUACAAACCGCCGCAAACCCGCGAGGGGGAGCCAAUCGGAAAAAGCCGGCCUCAGUUCGGAUUGGAGUCUGCAACUCGACUCCAUGAAGCUGGAAUCGCUAGUAAUCGUGGAUCAGCAUGCCACGGUGAAUACGUUCCCGGGCCUUGUACACACCGCCCGUCACAUCACGAAAGUGGGUUGCACUAGAAGUCGGUGCGCUGACCGCAAGGGAGCAGCCGCCCAAGGUGUAAUUCAUGAUUGGGGUGAAGUCGUAACAAGGUAGCCGUA